GAUGAACGCUGGCGGCGUGCCUAAUACAUGCAAGUCGAGCGAACAGACGAGGAGCUUGCUCCUCUGUCGUUAGCGGCGGACGGGUGAGUAACACGUGGAUAACCUACCUAUAAGACUGGGAUAACUUCGGGAAACCGGAGCUAAUACCGGAUAAUAUAUUGAACCGCAUGGUUCAAUAGUGAAAGACGGUUUUGCUGUCACUUAUAGAUGGAUCCGCGCCGCAUUAGCUAGUUGGUAAGGUAACAGCUUACCAAGGCAACGAUGCGUAGCCGACCUGAGAGGGUGAUCGGCCACACUGGAACUGAGACACGGUCCAGACUCUUACGGGAGGCAGCAGUAGGGAAUCUUCCGCAAUGGGCGAAAGCCUGACGGAGCAACGCCGCGUGAGUGAUGAAGGUCUUCGGAUCGUAAAACUCUGUUAUUAGGGAAGAACAAAUGUGUAAGUAACUAUGCACGUCUUGACGGUACCUAAUCAGAAAGCCACGGCUAACUACGUG
rnacentral:rRNA from 1 species